AUACUCACUUUGGAAGCACAUAUACUAACCCUGGAACAGUACAGGAAGAUUAGCAUGGCCCCAAGGAUAACACACGCACAUUCAUGAGGCGCUUCCUAUUUUU
rnacentral:snRNA from 1 species